AUGUUCGUGGCUAGAUGGGUAAGCUGCGACCCCACCUGCCUUUGCCUUGCUUUGCUGCUUAAUGUAACAGCAACUCAGGACCCCAGAAUAAAAACUGUUACAGUGCUUAAGGGAGGAUCUACAUCUGCCCAGGUUAGGGGACCGUCGUUAAAGCUUUGGGGAGGGGGGGAAGCUCCAAAACGAGACUCUCCCAGUGACCUUGGUGGUUUGAUUCAUUUGCAGGAUAAUAUUCUGAGGGCCGGCAACUUGAAGAGGAGCAGCUCAUCCCAUUUUGUUGAUUUCGGAGAUACUGUUUUAAGGAAGCAUGUGCUGAAGCAUAGUCCGGCAGUCGAAGGAGCAUUGUCACAGCUGGGAGCUCUGUGGAGAUCUGCGGCUGGCCAUGGAGGACGAGCUCUGACUUGCAGCAUGGACACAAGCUGGAUCCUAUUCCUGAAGGAAAAAGCAGAGGGGGUAGGCUGUCGGCUACUCACAUGCCUGCCACAUCAAGGGCAGCAGCAGGAGCUGACCCUUCCCCGACGGAUGCAUGAACGCUGGUGAGGUCAUGACUCUCCGGGUGUCACAAGGUAAGGGGAAGCAUGCUGGCACCGAGCUUCAUGGCAGACUCGCGCCCAGGUGUUGUUUCUGUGCAGUAAACAAUAAACAGUUGCUUUAUUCUUUGCA
rnacentral:lncRNA from 1 species